rnacentral:rRNA from 1 species
GUGUCAGCCGCCGCGGUAAUACGGAGGAUCCGAGCGUUAUCCGGAUUUAUUGGGUUUAAAGGGUGCGCAGGCGGGAUGUUAAGUCGGCGGUGAAAUUUUGCAGCUCAACUGUAAAAGUGCCUUCGAUACUGGCUUCCUUGAGUGUGGAUGAAGUAGGCGGAAUUUGUGGUGUAGCGGUGAAAUGCUUAGAUAUCACGAGGAACUCCGAUUGCGCAGGCAGCUUACUAAACCACUACUGACGCUCAUGCACGAAGGCGUGGGGAUCAAACAGGAUUAGAUACCCUGGUAGUCCACGCAGUAAACGAUGAUUACUAGUUGUUUGCGAUACAAUGUAAGCGACUGAGCGAAAGCGUUAAGUAAUCCACCUGGGGAGUACGUUCGCAAGAAUGAAACUCAAAGGAAUUGGCGG